rnacentral:rRNA from 1 species
UGUAUAAUGGGUCAGCGACUUAUAUUCUGUAGCAAGGUUAACCGAAUAGGGGAGCCGAAGGGAAACCGAGUCUUAACUGGGCGUUAAGUUGCAGGGUAUAGACCCGAAACCCGGUGAUCUAGCCAUGGGCAGGUUGAAGGUUGGGUAACACUAACUGGAGGACCGAACCGACUAAUGUUGAAAAAUUAGCGGAUGACUUGUGGCUGGGGGUGAAAGGCCAAUCAAACCGGGAGAUAGCUGGUUCUCCCCGAAAGCUAUUUAGGUAGCGCCUCGUGAAUUCAUCUCCGGGGGUAGAGCACUGUUUCGGCAAGGGGGUCAUCCCGACUUACCAACCCGAUGCAAACUGCGAAUACCGGAGAAUGUUAUCACGGGAGACACACGGCGGGUGCUAACGUCCGUCGUGAAGAGGGAAACAACCCAGACCGCCAGCUAAGGUCCCAAAGUCAUGGUUAAGUGGGAAACGAUGUGGGAAGGCCCAGACAGCCAGGAUGUUGGCUUAGAAGCAGCCAUCAUUUAAAGAAAGCGUAAUAGCUCACUGGUCGAGUCGGCCUGCGCGGAAGAUGUAACGGGGCUAAACCAUGCACCGAAGCUGCGGCAGCGACACUAUGUGUUGUUGGGUAGGGGAGCGUUCUGUAAGCCUGUGAAGGUGGCCUGUGAGGGUUGCUGGAGGUAUCAGAAGUGCGAAUGCUGACAUAAGUAACGAUAAAGCGGGUGAAAAGCCCGCUCGCCGGAAGACCAAGGGUUCCUGUCCAACGUUAAUCGGGGCAGGGUGAGUCGACCCCUAAGGCGAGGCCGAAAGGCGUAGUCGAUGGGAAACAGGUUAAUAUUCCUGUACUUGGUGUUACUGCGAAGGGGGGACGGAGAAGGCUAUGUUGGCCGGGCGACGGUUGUCCCGGUUUAAGCGUGUAGGCUGGU